rnacentral:rRNA from 1 species
GACGAACGCUGGCGGCGUGCUUAACACAUGCAAGUCGAGCGGUAAGGCCCUUCGGGGUACACGAGCGGCGAACGGGUGAGUAACACGUGGGUGACCUGCCCUCAGCUUCGGGAUAAGCCUGGGAAACCGGGUCUAAUACCGGAUAUGACCAUGGGAUGCAUGUUCUGUGGUAGAAAGUUUUUCGGCUGGGGAUGGGCCCGCGGCCUAUCAGCUUGUUGGUGGGGGGGUGGCCUACCAAGGCGGUGACGGGUAGCCGGCCUGAGAGGGGGACCGGCCAGACUGGGACUGAGACCCGGCCCAGACUCCUACGGGAGGCAGCAGUGGGGAAUAUUGCGCAAUGGGCGGAAGCCUGACGCAGCGACGCCGCGUGGGGGAUGACGGCCUUCGGGUUGUAAACCUCUUUCGCCAGGGACGAAGCUUUGGUGACGGUACCUGGAGAAGAAGCACCGGCCAACUACGUGCCAGCAGCCGCGGUAAAAC